rnacentral:rRNA from 1 species
GUAGGGGGCAAGCGUUGUCCGGAUUUAUUGGGCGUAAAGAGCGUGUAGGCGGCUAGAUAGGUCCGUUGUGAAAACUCGAGGCUCAACCUCGAGACGCCGAUGGAAACCAUUUGGCUAGAGUCCGGAAGAGGAGAGUGGAAUUCCUGGUGUAGCGGUGAAAUGCGCAGAUAUCAGGAAGAACACCCGUGGCUAAGGCGGCUCUCUAGUACGGUACUGACGCUGAGACGCGAAAGCGUGGGGAGCGAACAGG